CAUGCAAGUCGAACGUAAAGGCCCUUUCGGGGGUGCUCGAGUGGCGAACGGGUGAGUAACACGUGGGUGAUCUGCCCUGCACUUUGGGAUAAGCCUGGGAAACUGGGUCUAAUACCGAAUACACCUUGCUGGCUGCAUGGUCUGGUGAGGGAAAGCUUUUGCGGUGUGGGAUGGGCCCGCGGCCUAUCAGCUUGUUGGUGGGGUGAUGGCCUACCAAGGCGACGACGGGUAGCCGGCCUGAGAGGGUGUCCGGCCACACUGGGACUGAGAUACGGCCCAGACUCCUACGGGAGGCAGCAGUGGGGAAUAUUGCACAAUGGGCGCAAGCCUGAUGCAGCGACGCCGCGUGAGGGAUGACGGCCUUCGGGUUGUAAACCUCUUUCAGUACCGACGAAGCGCGAGUGACGGUAGGUACAGAAGAAGCACCGGCCAACUACGUGCCAGCAGCCGCGGUAAUACGUAGGGUGCGAGCGUUGUCCGGAAUUACUGGGCGUAAAGAGCUCGUAGGUGGUUUGUCGCGUUGUUCGUGAAAACUCACA
rnacentral:rRNA from 1 species